AAGUCGUAACAAGGUUUCCGUAGGUGAACCUGCGGAAGGAUCAUUACCAAUCCAAAACACCCACAAAGGGGCCGGCGGCUUGCUGUCGCGCCCCUUUACUGGGCAACCAACCUUUGAUUGUGAACCCGUCUGCCCAACGUCGUCGCCGCCCUGAUAUUUUGGGUGGCGGCGCAACAGUUCACCGAUUGUCCCCGGACAAUGGGUGGACCCAACACAAAUCCCCAUUAUACACACAAACUGAGGCCAUGUCCUGGUAUGCAUUUCUUUUCUCCUGCUGCCUGCCUGGCUGUGUGCAAAUACACACACACAGACGGGGGAGCGCGAGAAAGAAAGCAGAAAAAAUAUGAAAUUGGAAGCACAACUUUUAGCGGCGGAUCUCUUGGCUCGU
rnacentral:misc_RNA from 1 species